rnacentral:rRNA from 1 species
GACGAAGGUGGCAAGCGUUGUUCGGAAUUAUUGGGCUUAAAGCGCAUGCAGGCGGGAAGUUAAGUGUUCUGUGAAAUCCCUCGGCUUAACCGAGGACUAGCGGGGCAAACUAGCUUUCUUGAGGCAAGUAGGGGUGUAUGGAACUCUAGGUGGAGCGGUGAAAUGCGUAGAUAUCUAGAGGAACGCCAGCGGAGAAAUCGGUACACUGGACUUGUUCUGACGCUGAGGUGCGAAAGCGUGGGUAGCGAACGGGAUUAGAUACCCCGGUAGUCCACGCUGUAAACGAUGUCUACUAGGUCGUGGAGGUUCUGACACCUUCGCGGCCGAAGCAAAAGUGUUAAGUAGACCGCCUGGGGAGUACGAUCGCAAGGUUGAA